UACGGAGGGUGCAAGCGUUAUCCGGAUUCACUGGGUUUAAAGGGUGUGUAGGCGGGCUGUUAAGUCAGUGGUGAAAUCUCCGGGCUCAACCCGGAAACUGCCAUUGAUACUAAUGGUCUUGAAUUUUGUUGAGGUAGGCGGAAUAUGUCAUGUAGCGGUGAAAUGCUUAGAUAUGACAUAGAACACCGAUUGCGAAGGCAGCUUACUAAGCAAAUAUUGACGCUGAGGCACGAAAGCGUGGGGAUCAAACGGG
rnacentral:rRNA from 1 species